ACGGGUGAGUAAUGCGUGACCAACCUGCCCCAUGCUCCAGAAUAGCUCUUGGAAACGGGUGGUAAUGCUGGAUGCUCCAACUUGACGCAUGUCUUGUUGGGAAAGUGUUUAGUGGCAUGGGAUGGGGUCGCGUCCUAUCAGCUUGUAGGCGGGGUAAUGGCCCACCUAGGCUUCGACGGGUAGCCGGCCUGAGAGGCGGACGGCCACAUUGGGACUGAGAUACGGCCCAGACUCCUACGGGAGGCAGCAGGC
rnacentral:rRNA from 1 species